UGAGGCCCCAGGUCAGG
rnacentral:rRNA from 2 species